AGGGGCAUGGUGUUCAACGGCUAGCACGUCGGUCUCCAAAACCGAAGGUCCGGGUUCGAUUCCUGGUGCCCCUGCCA
rnacentral:tRNA from 5 species